CCUACGGGUGGCAGCAGUGGGGAAUAUUGCACAAUGGGGGAAACCCUGAUGCAGCGACGCCGCGUGAGUGAAGAAGUAAUUCGUUAUGUAAAGCUCUAUCAGCAGGGAAGAAAAUGACGGUACCUGAGUAAGAAGCACCGGCUAAAUACGUGCCAGCAGCCGCGGUAAUACGUAUGGUGCAAGCGUUAUUCGGAUUUACUGGGUGUAAAGGGAGCGCAGGCGGGACGGCAAGCCUGAUGUGAAAGCCCGGGGCCCAACCGCGGGACUGCAUUGGAUACUACCGGGCUAGAGUGCCGGAGAGGUAGGCGGAAUGCCUAGUGUAGCGGUGGAAUGCGUAGAUAUUAGGAAGAACACCAGUGGCGAAGGCAGCCUACUGGACGGUGACUGACGCUGAGGCACGAAAGCGUGGGGAGCAAACAGGAUUAGAUACCCGUGUAGUC
rnacentral:rRNA from 1 species